rnacentral:rRNA from 1 species
AACGAACGCUGGCGGCAGGCCUAACACAUGCAAGUCGAACGGAAACUGCAGGCUUAUUGGCGGACGGGUGAGUAACGCCUGGGGAGAGAGCCAUGUCUACGGAAUAGCCCUGGGAAACUGGGGAUAAUACCGAAAAGGCACUUAAUGGGAAAGAUUUAUCGGGGAAGAAUGAGCCGGCGUUGGAUUAGGUAGUUGGUGGGGUAAUGGCCUACCAGGCCGACGAUCCAUAGCUGGUAUGAGAGGAUGAUCAGCCACACUGGGACUGAGACACGGCCCAGACUCCUACGGGAGGCAGCAGUGGGGAAUCUUAGACAAUGGGGGCAACCCUGAUCUAGCCAUGCCGCGUGAGUGAUGAAGGCCUUAGGGUUGUAAAGCUCUUUCAGCUGGGAAGAUAAUGACGGUACCAGCAGAAGAAGCCCCGGCUAACUCCGUG